AUAAAUCAAAAGUAAUAAAAUAAAAUUCUAUUUGAUACAUGCAAAAAGUGGAAAACAUGGAUAAAAUUUUCAAGUUUGUUAAUGUUAUGAUCAUCAUUUUAUCCAUAUUUCUUGCUUCAACACAAAUUUCACACGGAUCUAACAUUCCAUGUAAAACUGAUCGUGAUUGUCCGGUACUUUCCGUCAACCAUGUUAGUCCAAAACCUAUAAGAAUGAAAUGUCGUAAAGGUUUUUGUCACUGACAAUCAUAAAGCUCCAAAGAUUAUAGGAUUGUUAGACCCCAAAAGAAUCCACAAAUUCACUACUCCAUGAAUUCUUGUUUAGUUAUUGUGAUCAUCCAUUAAAUGAUUUUUUUUUUAUAAUUUUUUAAUUUCAGGUACCUUGUAAGAUGAUGCAAAUGAAAUUAAAUAAAGCAUAAAAAAUAUUAUAUAUGGUUUCUUCUUCUA